rnacentral:rRNA from 1 species
UUAAGCGACUAAGCGUACACGGUGGAUGCCCUGGCAGUCAGAGGCGAUGAAGGACGUGCUAAUCUGCGAAAAGCGUCGGUAAGGUGAUAUGAACCGUUACAGCCGGCGAUGUCCGAAUGGGGAAACCCAGUGUGAUUCGUCACACUAUCGUUAACUGAAUACAUAGGUUAACGAGGCGAACCGGGGGAACUGAAACAUCUAAGUACCCCGAGGAAAAGAAAUCAACCGAGAUUCCCCCAGUAGCGGCGAGCGAACGGGGAGCAGCCCAGAGUCUGAAUCAGCUUGUGUGUUAGUGGAACGGUCUGGAAAGUCCGACGGUACAGGGUGAUAGUCCCGUACACCAAAAUGCACAGGCUGUGAACUCGAAGAGUAGGGCGGGACACGUGGUAUCCUGUCUGAAUAUGGGGGGACCAUCCUCCAAGGCUAAAUACUCCUGACUGACCGAUAGUGAACCAGUACCGUGAGGGAAAGGCGAAAAGAACCCCGGCGAGGGGAGUGAAAAAGAACCUGAAACCGUGUACGUACAAGCAGUGGGAGCACCUUCGGGUGUGACUGCGUACCUUUUGUAUAAUGGGUCAGCGACUUAUAUUCUGUAGCAAGGUUAACCGUAUAGGGGAGCCGCAGGGAAACCGAGUCUUAACUGGGCGUUAAGUUGCAGGGUAUAGACCCGAAACCCGGUGAUCUAGCCAUGGGCAGGUUGAAGGUUGGGUAACACUAACUGGAGGACCGAACCGACUAAUGUUGAAAAAUUAGCGGAUGACUUGUGGCUGGGGGUGAAAGGCCAAUCAAACCGGGAGAUAGCUGGUUCUCCCCGAAAGCUAUUUAGGUAGCGCCUCGUGAAUUCAUCUUCGGGGGUAGAGCACUGUUUCGGCUAGGGGGUCAUCCCGACUUACCAACCCGAUGCAAACUACGAAUACCGAAGAAUGUUAUCACGGGAGACACACGGCGGGUGCUAACGUCCGUCGUGAAGAGGGAAACAACCCAGACCGCCAGCUAAGGUCCCAAAGUCAUGGUUAAGUGGGAAACGAUGUGGGAAGGCACAGACAGCCAGGAUGUUGGCUUAGAAGCAGCCAUCAUUUAAAGAAAGCGUAAUAGCUCACUGGUCGAGUCGGCCUGCGCGGAAGAUGUAACGGGGCUAAACCAUGCACCGAAGCUGCGGCAGCGACACUAUGUGUUGUUGGGUAGGGGAGCGUUCUGUAAGCCUGCGAAGGUGUGCUGUGAGGCAUGCUGGAGGUAUCAGAAGUGCGAAUGCUGACAUAAGUAACGAUAAAGCGGGUGAAAAGCCCGCUCGCCGGAAGACCAAGGGUUCCUGUCCAACGUUAAUCGGGGCAGGGUGAGUCGACCCCUAAGGCGAGGCCGAAAGGCGUAGUCGAUGGGAAACAGGUUAAUAUUCCUGUACUUGGUGUUACUGCGAAGGGGGGACGGAGAAGGCUAUGUUAGCCGGGCGACGGUUGUCCCGGUUUAAGCAUGUAGGCUGAUUAUCCAGGCAAAUCCGGAUAAUCAAGGCUGAGGUGUGAUGACGAGGCACUACGGUGCUGAAGUAACAAAUGCCCUGCUUCCAGGAAAAGCCUCUAAGCAUCAGGUAACAUCAAAUCGUACCCCAAACCGACACAGGUGGUCAGGUAGAGAAUACCAAGGCGCUUGAGAGAACUCGGGUGAAGGAACUAGGCAAAAUGGUGCCGUAACUUCGGGAGAAGGCACGCUGGUGUGUAGGUGAAGCCCCUGCGGGUGGAGCUGAGACCAGUCGAAGAUACCAGCUGGCUGCAACUGUUUAUUAAAAACACAGCACUGUGCAAACACGAAAGUGGACGUAUACGGUGUGACGCCUGCCCGGUGCCGGAAGGUUAAUUGAUGGGGUUAUCCGUAAGGAGAAGCUCUUGAUCGAAGCCCCGGUAAACGGCGGCCGUAACUAUAACGGUCCUAAGGUAGCGAAAUUCCUUGUCGGGUAAGUUCCGACCUGCACGAAUGGCGUAAUGAUGGCCAGGCUGUCUCCACCCGAGACUCAGUGAAAUUGAACUCGCUGUGAAGAUGCAGUGUACCCGCGGCAAGACGGAAAGACCCCGUGAACCUUUACUAUAGCUUGACACUGAACAUUGAGCCUUGAUGUGUAGGAUAGGUGGGAGGCUUUGAAGCGUGGACGCCAGUCUGCGUGGAGCCAACCUUGAAAUACCACCCUUUAAUGUUUGAUGUUCUAACGUUGGCCCCUUACCGGGGUUGCGGACAGUGUCUGGUGGGUAGUUUGACUGGGGCGGUCUCCUCCCAAAGCGUAACGGAGGAGCACGAAGGUUAGCUAAUCCUGGUCGGACAUCAGGAGGUUAGUGCAAUGGCAUAAGCUAGCUUGACUGCGAGCGUGACGGCGCGAGCAGGUGCGAAAGCAGGUCAUAGUGAUCCGGUGGUUCUGAAUGGAAGGGCCAUCGCUCAACGGAUAAAAGGUACUCCGGGGAUAACAGGCUGAUACCGCCCAAGAGUUCAUAUCGACGGCGGUGUUUGGCACCUCGAUGUCGGCUCAUCACAUCCUGGGGCUGAAGUAGGUCCCAAGGGUAUGGCUGUUCGCCAUUUAAAGUGGUACGCGAGCUGGGUUUAGAACGUCGUGAGACAGUUCGGUCCCUAUCUGCCGUGGGCGCUGGAGAAUUGAGGGGGGCUGCUCCUAGUACGAGAGGACCGGAGUGGACGCAUCACUGGUGUUCGGGUUGUCAUGCCAAUGGCACUGCCCGGUAGCUAAAUGCGGAAGAGAUAAGUGCUGAAAGCAUCUAAGCACGAAACUUGCCCCGAGAUGAGUUCUCCCUGAGACUUUAAGUCUCCUGAAGGAACGUUGAAGACGAUGACGUUGAUAGGCCGGGUGUGUAAGCGCAGCGAUGCGUUGAGCUAACCGGUACUAAUGAACCGUGAGGCUUAACCU